GCAAUUCAUCAGGAGUGGAGGGGCAUGUGCAGGAUCGCCAUGUAACGUGAAUCCUGAUUCCACGUUUGCCUUUUGUGGUCGGCUUUACAAAGUGGAAAUGCUUCCAGUCGGUUUUAUGACCUGCAGCCACCUGCCGGAGGAAGCUUCUGACAACCAGGCUUUCAAAAAGGCAGGAUUGGUUUGUUUGUUUGUCCUGUGGGAUCCUCCUCUCUCCUAUUAAUCUCCAAUCAGCUAAUGGCAUCAAAAGAUCGCCCUGGGUAGGAAGCAAUGUGAUAAAGGACAGGUGAAGGAAGUCAAGGAGAGAAAUGAUGUGGAAGGCUGGAGGGGAGGCUCCCACCCACAGACACAGGGGCCACAGUCGGCCCUGGACACACAGAACACCUUUAAGAAGGCAUAAGAACUGGAAACCUGAAAUUACUUUCUUCUGACAUUGUCUCUUUCUGGAUCUGCUCAGCUGGAAAGCCCAAUGCAGAGCGAUUUGUCUUUGUUCUGACUUCUGUUGUAUUCCAUGUAAAGCCAUCACCCCAGGAGACUCGAAUUUCCUGUGGAUGUUGAUGUGCCCAUAUCUGCAGUGACAAAUCAAUUCAAAGAUACAAAUGCAGUUUUGUUAUAUGCACAUAUUGCCUACUGGUGAAGUCUGUGCUUUCAGGGUACCCAUCACCGGAACAGCAAACAUUGUACCCAAUAGAACUUCCUGCAUGUGGGGCUCUGAUGACUUCCCUGAGGCCUGACGACCCAUGAUCUCCCAGUCCAAGAGCUUCACGGAGCUCCAAGGCCUUGUUCUGCACUUCCAGGGGCAGGCUGUCAGCUGCCCAGCAAAAUGGGGAUGCACAGUGUGGCUAGGGAGAAGGGGUUGCACGCAGCAAUACAGUGUUCUUCAGCCUUCCAGAAAACAGCUAUUGAUGGGCCUCCUCAGAUUCUGGAAUGUGUAUGUACUCAUUUGCUAGGGCUGCCAUAACAAAGUACCGCAGACCGGGGGCUUAAACCACCGAGAUUUAUUGGCUCACAGUUCUGGAGGCUGGAAGUAGGAAAGGGUUGGUUCCUUCUGAGGGCUGCAAGGAAGCAUUUGUUCCAGGCCUCUCCCCUUGGCUUGGAGAUGGCCAUUUCCUCCCUGUGUCCCUCAUAUCUUCUUCCCUCCACGCAUGUCUCAGUGUCCACAUUUCCCCUUUUUAUAAGAACUAUUUGUCAUAGUGGAUUAAGGCCCAAUCUAAUGAACUAAUUUUAACUUGAUUACCUCUACAAAUACAGUAGGUCCAAAUAAAGUCACUUUCUGAGGUCCUGGGGUUAGGGAUCCAAUGAAUGAACCUGGGGAGCAGAGGGAACACAUUUUACCGCCUAACAGCACAGUUCCUAAACAUGAGAUCUUUUUGCAUAGACCCCUGGGAAGUCCAGUGUUUAGUGGCCUGCCACUCCGUGUUUGGUGGCCUGUCAUGUCAGAGUGGCAGCCUGUCUUGCUGCAUCUAGAACUGUUCAAGCCAAAUGCUCAUCAGAAACUGAGACUCAGAUGAGGGGUGUGUGGGCACCAACCUGCCUUUCAGGUGUGGCUCUGGGAAGAGGGCUUCCAAGCAUGCUCAAGUGCCUAAGAGUCAGCCUAGUAACUAAAAUAAUACAAAACAAGACAGCAACAAGAUCACAUUUAUGUCGAUCAUACUGGCAGAAUGUUAAGACAGGACUGCAUUUUGAGAGGAGCACACACACCACACAUUGCUCAUGUCAGCAAAAAGUGGAACCACAUUUCUGGAAACAAUUUGGUGAUGUCAUCAAGGGCAUUUUUAAAAGUUGUAUAAUUUGACCCAAGAUUCCUGAUUUUAGAAAUUUUUCUUAGGAAACUAACAAGGGCUACAUUGAAAAUUUUCUAUAAAAAAAAAUUCUUCUCAGCAUCAAUUUUAAUAGUUAAAAAAAAAUCCCUGGAAAACAGCCUCAAUGUCCAACAAAAAGGGGAUAUGGCAUAUUCAUAUGAUGGAGUAGUGCAAUGAAACUAGGAGUUUUCAAAUAAUUAGAUUUAAUGACAAAUUUUUUUGAUAUAAGGUAAAAUAUUAAGUGAAGCAAGCUACAAACUUAUAAUACAUUAUGUAACAAACUAUAUUUAAAAUACUCAUAAAAAUAAUGGAAAUUUUAGCAAUUUUUUUGGUGAUAAGAUUAGAAACUUUUAUUUUUAAAUCUCUGUAUUUCCUAAACUUCUUGCAAAGAAUAUAUUUAGACAUUACCCCUGUAAAGCAGAAAGAAUAGCAAUUUUUUUUUAACUGCGUGCUUCCUUUUCUAUUUUCGCUUCUCUUCCUUCUCCUCUACCCUUACUUUCAACCAAGGCUAGAGGUUGAACAGUGACUUAAUGCUCACAAUGUCUAUUGCCCUAUUUGACCCAAUAGCUUUAGAUCUAUUUCUCAUUAUUAUUGCAUCCACUGUAACUUUUUCCAUACCCUGAUGCUCAUGCAAAUUACAAAAGAAUUUCCAGUUGUUUAACCUGUUAUUAUCUGUUUAACUUGUGAUUCACUUUCCCGUUGCUUUGGCUUGUAUAGUGACACUGGUGAAAAUGCUUUAGUGAAUGAGAAAUUAACUAACCAUGGAAUCAUAGUAAGAGUUAUAAGGACUUGAAGUGGAAAUGCCCUGGUGGAAUUACUGUCACAUAUAGACUACAUUUUUCUAUAUUUCUCUUGUAAUUCCUAACUUUGAGUUCCUCCCAGUAGGAAUACACUGUCCUUCAUGUACAAAUAUAAAUAUAUAAAUAUAGCAACAUUAUAGCACUUCAAACUUGUCAUGAACUUUUCCAAUCUUUUUAAAAUUCUGACAAGAUGACUUUCUAAUGAAAGAAUUUGAUCAUGUUAAUUUCCCAGUUUAAAAAUCUUUUAGUGGAUGUUGGGCUAUGCUACCUAGGUCCUCCUUUGGGUGCUGUGCUGUGCUACCUAGGUCCUCCUUUGGGUGCUGUGCUGUGCUACCUAGGUCCUCCUUUGGGUGCUGUGCUGUGCUACCUAGGUCCUCCUUUGGGUGCUGUGCUGUGCUACCUAGGUCCUCCUUUGGGGCUGAGCACCCCUUCUCCACAGUUGCCAGGAAUGUUGGGGCUAAUGUCUGUCAACUGAGUGGUUCCCCAGAAGGUACCCUCAGCUGAAGACAGCAGCUUCACCCAGGGCCACACCCCCUCCCUAGGAACAGCCAACCUCUGAUGACUGGUCAAUGCAGGGCUGUAGAGCUUGACCACCUUGCCUUCAGUUGGGGCAAAUCUGAAGGGUCAUCUCAGCUCUAGAGCUCCCUGUAAGAUCUGCCCUGCAGGUCACUUCUUUCCCCUGCCCACCUCUCCUUCCUUCAUUUGCCUACAGAUAUUGUUCCCAUGAACACUCUC
ensembl:lncRNA novel transcript